CCCUUAGAUGUUCUGGGCUGCACGCGCGCUACACUGAUGCGAUCAACAAGUUUUUCCUAUGUCGAUAGACACGGGUAAUCUUUUGAACUCGCAUCGUGAUGGGGAUAGAUUAUUGUAAUUAUUAAUCUUCAACGAGGAAUUCCUAGUAGGUGCAAAUCAUCAGUUUGCAUCGAUUACGUCCCUGCCCUUUGUACACACCGCCCGUCGCUGCUACCGAUUGGUUGAUCUGGUGAAUUAUUCGGACUGCCGGCUGAAGGGGUUUCCUCAUCUGCCAGCGGAAAGGCUUGUUAACCCUAUCAACUAGAGGAAGCAGAAGUCGUAACA
rnacentral:rRNA from 1 species